rnacentral:snoRNA from 1 species
AGAUCAUUUGAAAGACAGCUUGUGGGGCUGGGAAACCAGGAGCUCUAAGACUGUGACCAAAGACCAAAGACCAAAGA